rnacentral:rRNA from 1 species
UACGUAGGGUGCGAGCGUUGUCCGGAAUUACUGGGCGUAAAGAGCUCGUAGGCGGUCUGUCGCGUCGAUCGUGAAAACUUGGGGCUUAACCCUGAGCUUGCGGUCGAUACGGGCAUGACUGGAGUUCGGCAGGGGAGAAUGGAAUUCCUGGUGUAGCGGUGGAAUGCGCAGAUAUCAGGAGGAACACCGAUGGCGAAGGCAGUUCUCUGGGCCGUAACUGACGCUGAGGAGCGAAAGCGUGGGGAGCGAACAGG